AUACGUUUUUCAAUAAUCUUUUUUUUAUAAAAAACCUAUUUUUAUUUGUUGUGCUGUUGAUAUCAAAUUGUUUUUCUAAUACUUAAUUAUUACUUUUUAUCUUUUUUUAUAUUUUAACUAGAAACACAACAAUUACAAUAUGUACAACAACAACCACAAUCAGUGAACUUUCAACAAAUGUUUUUGCAAUCUAUGGAAGAAAUGUGUAAGAUUUUAGAUUGUAUUGAUUAUUAAACUUUUUAUUUGUUACUGUAAUACUCAUGUUUUAUUUAAUUUUUUAAAAUAUCACUUUACAUAGAAAAUGUUAAUAAAAUUGUUUUUUCUCUUUAGUUAAUAAUUUUUUAAAGAAGAUGGAGGUGCAAUCCUGUAUGAAAAUAUCUUUAACUUUAUAAAUUUAUAAAUUGGUUCUUUCCAAAAAAUAAUUGAUUAUAUGCAUACAUAUGGUGGUGGUAUACACAUCACCAUAUUGUUUUAUUUAAACAUAUAAAAGAAUUUAGCUUUUUUUAUUGUAAAGUUUCUUAUGUAUUAUGAAAUCAUAGAUUUUUUGAUUAUAUAUAGCCCAAACACCAUCAUUGUCAAUGGCAGCAGCUGCCACAACUCCUGCAACAAUAACAACAACAACAACAACAACAACAACAACAACAGCAUCUUCCUCAUCAUCUGCUACAAGUGCAGCUGCUGCUGAUUUGUCAUAUGAGGCUUUUAUAGCCUACAGGAGGAGUCAACCAGGACCCAUAUCCUACAGGGCCCAUAGGAUAUGGGCCUCAAAUAAUGGGGCAGAUCUCCCCUCUUUUCGUUGGGGGAGAAGAAGAAGAAAUGGGAGGGGGGGUGGAAGGGGGGGUGUUAUGUAUAAUUAUAAUUGAUUAUACAAAUUAUACGAAUAAAUAAAAUAAAAUUUUACAAUAAGCACUGUUGUUUUUCUUUACCCUUCCUAAGAUAAAUUUUGCCAAUGUUGGAAAUGAUUUUAAACAAUAAAGGCGUUUAUGACUUUUUUAUUUAACAUAUGGGUGCCUUACAGUAAAAAGUACCAAUCUUCUGAGUUACUGAUACAGUUGCAUAGAGUCAGGAAUAAGUCACAAAAUAAAACAAAAAUUAGCUUGAUAGCAUCAUUUUUAAAAGUUCUACAUAGUUUUUCA